UACGGGGGGUGCGAGCGUUAAUCGGAAUAACUGGGCGUAAAGGGCACUCAGUCGGACUUUUAAGUGAGGUGUGAAAUCCCCGGGCUUAACCUGGGAAUUGCAUUUCAUACUGGGAGUCUAGAGUGCUUUAGAGGGGUGUAGAAUUCCACGUGUAGCGGUGAAAUGCGUAGAGAUGUGGAGGAAUACCGAAGGCGAAGGCUGCCCCUUGGGAAUGUACUGACGCUCAUUUGCGAAAGCGUGGGGAGCAAACAGG
rnacentral:rRNA from 1 species